UACAGAGGGUGCGAGCGUUAAUCGGAAUUACUGGGCGUAAAGCGUGCGUAGACGGUCAUGUAAGUCGGGUGUGAAAGCCCCGAGCUCAACCUGGGAAUUGCAUUCGAGACUGCACGGCUAGGGUGCGGAAGAGGGAAGCGGAAUUUCCGGUGUAGCGGUGAAAUGCGUAGAUAUCGGAAGGAACAUCAGUGGCGAAAGCGGCUUCCUGGUCCAGCACCGACGUUCAGGCACGAAAGCGUGGGGAGCAAACAGG
rnacentral:rRNA from 1 species